rnacentral:rRNA from 1 species
GACGAACGCUGGCGGCGUGCUUAACACAUGCAAGUCGAACGGAAAGGCCCUGCUUUUGUGGGGUGCUCGAGUGGCGAACGGGUGAGUAACACGUGAGUAACCUGCCCUUGACUUUGGGAUAACUUCAGGAAACUGGGGCUAAUACCGGAUAGGAGCUCCUGCUGCAUGGUGGGGGUUGGAAAGUUUCGGCGGUUGGGGAUGGACUCGCGGCUUAUCAGCUUGUUGGUGGGGUAGUGGCUUACCAAGGCUUUGACGGGUAGCCGGCCUGAGAGGGUGACCGGCCACAUGGGUACUGAGAGACGGCCCAGACUCCUACGGGAGGCAGCAGUGGGGAAUAUGGCACAAUGGGCGGAAGCCUGAUGCAGCAACGCCGGGUGCGGGAUGACGGCCUUCGGGUUGUAAACCGCUUUCGCCUGUGACGAAGCGGGAGUGACGGUAAUGGGUAAAGAAGCACCGGCUAACUACGUG